AUUGAACGCUAGCGGGAUGCCUUACACAUGCAAGUCGAACGGAGUGGCGAACGGGUGAGUAAUGUAUAGGAAAGUGCCCAGUAGCGGGGGAUAACUACGAGAAAGCGUCGCUAAUACCGCAUACUAUCGGAGCGGCCUAUAUCGGAUUAGCUAGUUGGUGGGGUAAAGGCACACCAGGGCGACGAUCAGUAGCUGGUUUGAGCGGACGUCCAGUCACCAUGGGACUGAGACACGGCCCAGACUCCUACGGGAGGCAGCAGUGGGGAAUUGUGGACAAUUGGGGAAACCCGGAUCCAGCCAUCCCGCGUGGGCGAUGAAGGUCUUCGGGUUGUAAAGCACUUUUGGCAGGAAAGCGGUACCUGCAGAAUAAGCACCGGCUAACUACGUGCCAGCAGCCGCGGUAAUUC
rnacentral:rRNA from 1 species